CAGUAAAUUGAGUCUAGCGAUGCCCCUGGUCCACACUACUGUAUUUGCAUUUUUAAACAUUUGAUAAUACUAUCCCUGUUGAAGAAAAAUUAGCUUAUCUUUCUUUUUUGCAUAAGGGCUCACAUAAGAGCAGCACGAAUCUCAAAUUCACCACUCUCUCUCAGAUUUCAGAGGAGCUUCAGUAAGUUCACUGCAUCUUUUCCACAGCCUACAAUGGUCUUCUCAGUGCUUUCGAGUGUCCUUCUUUGCAUUGUGUUGCAAUCUUGUAUUCAAAGUGUGGCGAAUGAAGAGGUGGACAUUAACACCCUUUUCGAGAUUCAAAAAUAUUUUCAUCAUAGUUAUGAAAAAGGCGUGCAGUAUGCAGUAGCCAUCAAUGUCCAGAAGGAGGAGUGUCAAAUCCGUCAUGACCUAUCAAACGGCAACUAUCUGACAAACGACCACUUUCUGAUACAUGACAAGACGGAAGAUGUUAGGUGUUACAUAAAACCUGACAGUAUGGAAGUCUACCAAGGCCAUGAAGUCAUUGCUGCAGGGGUUCAUAGAGAUGCACAUUCAGAGCAUUUACUGAUGAAUCCUCCAAAUAAUUCUCCUUUGACACACUUGUUGAAUAAAUUGAAUAAUGGCUGUGUGGUUUUCUACACUUUACUCUCUCCCUGUGUAGACGGAUGUCUUAACAGUAACGUUAUACUUGCAGGUCUUCAAGAAUAACAGAAUUAUCAUGGAAUGAAAGCCUUUGUUUACACAUAUAUCUAUGAUCAAGACCAGAACAACCCAAACCUACGUAAUGAACUGAAAAAGAUUGCUCAUCGUGUGCCACUUUACCGCUGUGGCAUACAUGGUUGUAUCUCUUGUGGACAAGAUGUGAUAGAAGCUUGUUUAGUCAGUAAGGCCUGAUUAUGUAGAGUUUCUUCAGUGCUUUAACUGAUGUGUGCUUCCGCACUGGAGUUUCCGUUGCUGCAGAGACUUUUGAUGAUACAAUUCAAUGCUCUGAUGAUCAGUUUAUAUGCUGCCUUUUGCUUUUUCAUUUGUUUUUCAUUAAAUGAGUGAAUUAUUUCAGGGGAGAGUACAUCUGUCUCUUUUAUUUGAUUUAGGAAAUAUGAGGUUUCUAUAAUGAAUUCUGAUCAUUGUGUACUUUGAUCAUUUGUUUUUAAAAUGCUUGUUUGUUCAUGCUUUGGGUAAUAAUAAAUGAAUGGCUUUUGCUGCUUGCAGAAAUAAACUUAUACUCACCAUA